GAUGAACGUUGGCGGCAUGCUUAACACAUGCAAGUCGAACGCGAUGUCUUCGGACAUUGAGUGGCGAACGGGUGCGUAACACGUAGGUAACUUGCCUGGAAGAGGGGGAUAACCAUUGGAAACGAUGGCUAAUACCGCAUAUUCUUACUUAGGUAAGGAAAAGAUCUUCGGAUCUGCUUCCAGAGAGGCCUGCGGCCUAUCAGGUAGUUGGUGGGGUAAUGGCCUACCAAGCCGAAGACGGGUAGCUGACCUGAGAGGGUGGUCAGCCACAGGGGAACUGAGACACGGUCCCC
rnacentral:rRNA from 1 species